rnacentral:misc_RNA from 1 species
CUUCUCGAAAGAUUCCCAAAUCUGAAAGCAAUCGAAAUCCGGGAAUUCGAGGGUGACCUUAAUUCCGUUCUCUAUCUAAUCUCCAAAUCUGGGUUGGACCUCGAAACCNNNNACCCUUGAUUUCUCAAACCAAAGUCACUUUCCCUUAGUUGGUUUGAGGGAAUUGGGGUUGAGAAUGAGCAAUCUGAGGAAACUGAAUUGCUCAAAGCUAGGCCAUUUUGAAGAUAGUGAUCUAUUUAUAAUUGGAACUUGUUUUCCAUUGCUUGAAGAUCUUGAUAUUAGUUUUCCCCAGUAUAAUUCUCGUUUUAAUCCCAAUGGGUCUUUGGAUUUGCAAUCUUUCUCGGG